rnacentral:pre_miRNA from 1 species
UUCCGAACAUUUGGACCGUCGGUCUACCGAGCAAUAUCACCCGCUCGGUGGAAGAUCUUCCCUUUGUCGUAUAUC